rnacentral:tRNA from 1 species
GGUGAAAUGGCUGAGAUCUAGGCGAUAAAUUGUAAAUUUAUUUACGAAAUGAUAUUUCUUUCACCA